rnacentral:rRNA from 1 species
GAUGAACGCUGGCGGCGUGCCUAAUACAUGCAAGUCGAGCGAACAGACGAGGAGCUUGCUCCUCUGACGUUAGCGGCGGACGGGUGAGUAACACGUGGAUAACCUACCUAUAAGACUGGGAUAACUUCGGGAAACCGGAGCUAAUACCGGAUAAUAUAUUGAACCGCAUGGUUCAAUAGUGAAAGACGGUUUUGCUGUCACUUAUAGAUGGAUCCGCGCCGCAUUAGCUAGUUGGUAAGGUAACGGCUUACCAAGGCAACGAUGCGUAGCCGACCUGAGAGGGUGAUCGGCCACACUGGAACUGAGACACGGUCCAGACUCCUACGGGAGGCAGCAGUAGGGAAUCUUCCGCAAUGGGCGAAAGCUUGACGGAGCAACGCCGCGUGAGUGAUGAAGGUCUUCGGAUCGUAAAACUCUGUUAUUAGGGAAGAACAAAUGUGUAAGUAACGAUGCACGUCUGGACGGUACCUAAUCAGAAAGCCACGGCUAACUACGU